CCUACGGGCGGCUGCCGUGGGGAAUAUUGGACAAUGGGCGAAAGCCUGAUCCAGCCAUGCCGCGUGUGUGAAGAAGGCCUUCGGGUUGUAAAGCACUUUCAGUGGGGAAGAAAGCCUUGGGGCUAAUACCCUCGAGGAAGGACAUCACCCACAGAAGAAGCACCGGCUAACUCCGUGCCAGCAGCCGCGGUAAUACGGAGGGUGCGAGCGUUAAUCGGAAUUACUGGGCGUAAAGCGCGCGUAGGCGGUCUGAUAAGCCGGUUGUGAAAGCCCCGGGCUCAACCUGGGAACGGCAUCCGGAACUGUCAGGCUAGAGUGCAGGAGAGGAAGGUAGAAUUCCCGGUGUAGCGGUGAAAUGCGUAGAGAUCGGGAGGAAUACCAGUGGCGAAGGCGGCCUUCUGGACUGACACUGACGCUGAGGUGCGAAAGCGUGGGUAGCAAACAGGAUUAGAUACCCCGGUAGUC
rnacentral:rRNA from 1 species